UACGUAGGGUGCGAGCGUUGUCCGGAAUUAUUGGGCGUAAAGGGCUCGUAGGCGGUUUGUCGCGUCGGGAGUGAAAACCUCGGGCUUAACUCGGGGCUUGCUUUCGAUACGGGCAGACUGGAGGUAUGCAGGGGAGAACGGAAUUCCUGGUGUAGCGGUGAAAUGCGCAGAUAUCAGGAGGAACACCGGUGGCGAAGGCGGGUCUCUGGGCAACAACUGACGCUGAGGAGCGAAAGCGUGGGGAGCGAACAGG
rnacentral:rRNA from 1 species